ACUUGGAUAGCUUAUUUUUAUUUAGAGCGUGACACUGAAGAUGUCAAUGAGGCAUAAUUUGCCUUUAAGUG
rnacentral:tRNA from 1 species